AGAGUUUGAUCCUGGCUCAGGAUGAACGCUAGCGACAGGCUUAACACAUGCAAGUCGAGGGGCAGCGGGAUUGAAGCUUGCUUCAAUUGCCGGCGACCGGCGCACGGGUGAGUAACACGUAUGCAACCUGCCCGUCACAGGGGAAUAACCGGAAGAAAUUCCGACUAAUUCCGCGUAACACCGAAGUGAGGCAUCUCGUUUCGGUCAAAGGAGCAAUCCGGUGACGGAUGGGCAUGCGGCGCAUUAGCUAGUCGGCGGGGUAACGGCCCACCGAGGCGACGAUGCGUAGGGGUUCUGAGAGGAAGGUCCCCCACACUGGUACUGAGACACGGACCAGACUCCUACGGGAGGCAGCAGUGAGGAAUAUUGGUCAAUGGGCGGGAGCCUGAACCAGCCAAGUCGCGUGAGGGAAGACGGCCCUACGGGUUGUAAACCUCUUUUGUCAGGGAGCAAGAACAGGCACGCGUGCCUGACUGAGAGUACCUGAAGAAAAAGCAUCGGCUAACUCCGUGCCAGCAGCCGCGGUAAUACGGAGGAUGCGAGCGUUAUCCGGAUUUAUUGGGUUUAAAGGGUGCGUAGGCGGACUGCCAAGUCAGCGGUAAAAUUGCGGGGCUCAACCCCGUCGAGCCGUUGAAACUGGUGGUCUUGAGUGGGCGAGAAGUACGCGGAAUGUGUGGUGUAGCGGUGAAAUGCAUAGAUAUCACGCAGAACUCCGAUUGCGAAGGCAGCGUACCGGCGCCCUACUGACGCUGAAGCACGAAAGCGUGGGUAUCGAACAGGAUUAGAUACCCUGGUAGUCCACGCAGUAAACGAUGAAUGCUAGCUGUCCGGGACGAAUGAGUCCUGGGUGGCACAGCGAAAGCGUUAAGCAUUCCACCUGGGGAGUACGCCGGCAACGGUGAAACUCAAAGGAAUUGACGGGGGC
rnacentral:rRNA from 1 species